AACGCACCUUGCACUCCUUGGUAUUCCGAGGAGUAUGCCUGUUUGAGUGUCAUGAAAUUCUCAACCUCAUGGUUUUAUUACCGUGAGGCUUGGAUUUGGAAGCCUGCUGGCGUAAGUCGGCUCUUCUUAAAUGCAUUAGCUGCUUGUCCGUGAGUUGGCUCAGAGUGUGAUAAGUAUCUACACUUGGUGGCUGCUUGCUUGGAUGUGGCUUCUAAUCGUCUUCGGACAACUUUUCUUAAGAUCUGACCUCAAAUCAGGUAGGACUACCCGCUGAACUUAAGC
rnacentral:misc_RNA from 1 species